CUUGCUUCAAACUGGCCACCAACAAUGCAAAUAGUUCGGCUUAUAUCUCAGGACCACAUGAACAACAAGCAGUAUGUUGGAAAGGCUGAUUUUCUAGUAUUUCGGGCAAUGAAUCAGCAUGGAUUUCUUGGACAACUGCAAGAAAAGAAGCUUUGUGCAGUCAUCCAAUUGCCAUCACAGACAUUACUGCUUUCUGUUCAUGUGGUCCUGAGAUAUAAGCCG
rnacentral:misc_RNA from 1 species